CGUCCCAGCAUCCUUAUCUUUCUCCACGGCCGAAUCCAAUCUUCAUCUUCAUUUCCCCAUUCCGUGGAUUCAACUCCUCCGAGGUCCUCCCAACGACUUCCUUCAUCUCAACUGACAACCGAAUCCAAACUCCCUCCUAUUCGGUUUAAUUGGCCACGGAAGAAUCCCCUGUUUCUCCGCGUUGUAACCAUGUCACCUCUUAUCCAAACGACUUCCCCUGCUUCAGCCAUAGAGGAACACCCAACGACCGAAUCAAGAGUCCAGCUUUCCCAACGUCCCGAGUUCAUCUCGCGUCCGCAUCCUUCUUCAUCCAAAUCGAAUCCCCUGUUCCCAAUUGUAUCCACCGUUUCCAAACCUCCUCAACUUCUCUUCAUUCCGCGUCCGUGAUUCAAGGUUUAUCUCCCAGCCACGUUCUCCUCUUCCGAACCAAGCUAACCUUCUUUCGGAUUACCUCUCA
rnacentral:lncRNA from 1 species